rnacentral:lncRNA from 1 species
GUCCGUAUGCGACGUCUGGGGAGGAAUUUCCUCUCGGUAACGACCUCCCCUCUUAACUUCCUUUCAGGCAUUUGUGGAGCUGCUUGGCCCUGUGAUCCAAGAGCGAUGCAACAGGCUGCAGGGAGAAGUAAAAACACCUGAGAUGCUGCUGUGAGUGCUGUGGAGGGAGGGAGACCGGUGAAUCCUGCAUGACUCUAAUUGCUUGGCCCCAAGUCUUAGUGAAUAAAGUUGAGGUGCGCUAGUCACUUAGGGCUGUCUGUCAGAGGGAGACAGGAGCUCCCCCUGGCCCUCCAGAUUUUAACGAUUCUGUGUCUUUUCAUCCUUGUCACCCCUUGGUCAGUUUCAAGCUCAUAGGCUGGUUCCUGCACCCUUUGUCUUUUCAUAGCUUGAUAGCUCCUUUGUUUUUAGUGCUGGACCUCUACUGAAAGACAUCUUGGUUGCUCCCAGGUUUUGGCACGUAUGAGUAAAGCGGCAAUAAACAUCUGUGUGUAGGUUUUUCUGUGGACUUUUAAGUUUUCAGCUCCUUUAGG